CCAACGGCCCUCUUUAGGGCCACAAUUGCUGUCAGGCGCAUAAAUU
rfam:Angiostrongylus costaricensis strain Costa Rica genome assembly, scaffold: ACOC_scaffold0000674